CCUACGGGGUGCAGCAGUGGGGAAUAUUGCACAAUGGGGGAAACCCUGAUGCAACGACGCCGCGUGAGUGAAGAAGUAUUUCGGUACGUAAAGCUCUAUCAGCAGGGAAGAAAGAAAUGACGGUACCUGACCAAGAAGCCCCGGCUAACUACGUGCCAGCAGCCGCGGUAAUACGUAGGGGGCAAGCGUUAUCCGGAAUUACUGGGUGUAAAGGGAGCGUAGACGGUUAAGUAAGUCUGGAGUGAAAGGCCGGGGCCCAACCCCGGGACUGCUCUGGAAACUAUUGAACUUGAGUGCAGGAGAGGUAAGCGGAAUGCCUAGUGUAGCGGUGAAAUGCGUAGAUAUUAGGAGGAACACCAGUGGCGAAGGCGGCUUACUGGACUGUAACUGACGUUGAGGCUCGAAAGCGUGGGGAGCAAACAGGAUUAGAUACCCGGGUAGUC
rnacentral:rRNA from 1 species